UACGUAGGGUGCGAGCGUUAAUCGGAAUUACUGGGCGUAAAGCGUGCGCAGGCGGUUCGUGAUGUCUGAUGUGAAAGCCCCGGGCUCAACCUGGGAAUUGCAUUGGAAACUAGCGGGCUGGAGUGUGGCAGAGGGGGGUGGAAUUCCACGUGUAGCAGUGAAAUGCGUAGAGAUGUGGAGGAACACCGAUGGCGAAGGCAGCCCCCCUGGGCUGAGAUUGACGCUGAGUGCACGAAAGCGUGGGGAGCAAACAGG
rnacentral:rRNA from 1 species